UACGGAGGGAGCUAGCGUUAUUCGGAAUUACUGGGCGUAAAGCGCACGUAGGCGGCUUUGUAAGUAAGAGGUGAAAGCCUGGUGCUCAACACCAGAACUGCCUUUUAGACUGCAUCGCUUGAAUCAUGGAGAGGUGAGUGGAAUUCCGAGUGUAGAGGUGAAAUUCGUAGAUAUUCGGAAGAACACCAGUGGCGAAGGCGGCUCACUGGACAUGUAUUGACGCUGAGGUGCGAAAGCGUGGGGAGCAAACAGG
rnacentral:rRNA from 2 species